GAGUUUGAUCGUGGCUCAGAUUGAACGCUGGCGGCAUGCCUUACACAUGCAAGUCGAACGGCAGCACGGGAGCUUGCUCCUGGUGGGCGAGUGGCGAACGGGUGAGUAAUGCAUCGGAACGUAUCCUGGAGUGGGGGAUAACGUAGCGAAAGUUACGCUAAUACCGCAUAUUCUGUGAGCAGGAAAGCGGGGGACCUUCGGGCCUCGCGCUCUUGGAGCGGCCGAUGUCGGAUUAGCUAGUUGGUGAGGUAAAGGCUCACCAAGGCGACGAUCCGUAGCAGGUCUGAGAGGAUGAUCUGCCACACUGGAACUGAGACACGGUCCAGACUCCUACGGGAGCAGCAGUGGGAAUUUGGACAAUGGGGGCAACCCUGAUCCAGCCAUGCCGCGUGAGUGAAGAAGGCC
rnacentral:rRNA from 1 species